AUGCAAGUUGUUAAAGCAGAUCCGGAACACUUCUUCCCAAAUUUAGGAAGGGAGCAAUCCUUUCUAUGCCUUAUCCCUGAUUACACACAUACACACACACACACACACACACACAUACACACAUGUCAGUUCCUCACUUAUAUAAAACAGCUCUAUGCCUUUUUUUUCUACCACACCACACCUCUGUUGUCUUUUUUUCUUUCUUUCUUUCUUUUUUUUUUCCAGCUCCAGGCCCUCUCCUACAGGAAGACUUCCUGGAUUAAUCUGCUAAUCUUCAGCUCAUCCACCUGUUUAAUAGGUGAUUGGAGAACGGUUGAUAUCUCUAGCAGACAUCAUUUGCCCAGAGCAGUGUUUACCUGUUAAUGUCACCAUCCCUUCCCGGAGACCAGGGUCAAACACACUCCUCAUGCUGUUCUGCUUCCUGUCCAUGGCCUUAAGGUCUUCUCAAAGUCUUCUGAAGCAGCUCUUGACUAAAGCUUUCCAAGAGGGUAAGGCAAUUUAGGGUGGGAGGCAGGAACUAGAAGAGAAUAGCCCUAAUGGUGGAUUUCACAGCCGGGCACUUGGCUCUGUGCUUAACAUUUGGUGGAUGUUAUCAGUAACUCUGAGAGGAGGGUACUGCCAAGCCCAUUUUACAGAUGAGAAAGCUGAGUACAGAGAAAACAGCUAACUUGCCCAAGGUCCCUCGGCUGAGGGAGAGGGCUCAGCUGAGGCAGAGGGCUUAAAUGUCAAAUCCAGGUACGUCUGAGUCUGAAGGGUGUGGUCUACACUCAAUAGAUACGCUUCAACAAGACCUCAGUGGCACAAACUAUCAUGGCAACGGUCUCGAACAGGAACUGAAUUAUAGAAUAUUCUUUAAGAAAUACUGCUAUAACAUUUUCUAGCAUCUGUAGCAAUUCAAUUUGAUGGCUAAUAAAAUGCUUCUACAUAUCUCUUCUUAAAAACCCUCUUUAAUUGACAAUACUCAUUUGCAAUUAGCAGUACGGUUUACAUAAAGGCAUCAGAUAUUCUAUGAUUCUUAAAAAUGCUCUUGUGUUAUUCAGUUGGUUAAACAUUCCCCUCUUCAAUCAGGUCUACAAUACCUAUUUGCUUGGCACUAGUGGUAACAGAGAUUGGUUUUGGAGUGGGUCAAUUUGGCCCAGAUUUUUAAGCAUUGACCUAAUUGUGUAUAAUUAUGGUCUUUUUGGUGAAGUGUAUGACAAAACAUUAAAGAACUUUUCAGACAAACUCAUUUGCAAAUCAGGCAAUUUAACCCCCUACUAGACCACAUGCCCAUAUUUCUGCUGUGGCAAAUUUAUUCAUUUAUGAAUAAAUAAAUGAAGUCAGGAAUUAAUUUACUCUCUAUGACCCUGAGAUUUCUACUCUGAGAUGCAAGGAGGGGGACCCUCUUCUAACCCUGGGGAACCUAAGGCCAGUCCUGAGCCUGGUUUCUGGGGAGGGUCAAAAGCUCAGGGUACAGCCUCCUGCCUCUGCAAAGAAUAAUAGGCAGGAGAGUUAAGGAAACUGAGAUCUACAAUCAGCUCAGCUCGAAUGCUAAUUUGCUACUUAACAUGUGCUGGGUACAUGCCACUGCCACCACCCCCUAAUUAGGGGGGGAAAAACAUUCUGUUCUAGUAAACAGAUGACAUUAUAAUUUGAAACUCCGUGACCUCGAAAUACAACUUUUCCCUCUGGUUUGUCAUCCCCAUAAAGAAGGGUUAAAGAUCAACUAUUGUAAAACCAAAGCAUCUCUUUGCUGUUGGUUGGUUUAUAAAUAAACACCUCAUACAACACCUAUUCCCAUUUAGUUACCUGGUGAACACUUAGCAAGUACUUUGUCAUGACAAGUAUACCAGGGAAGCGUGUGAAGCAAAGCCAGACAUUUAAUGGGUAGUUCACCCAGAUUUUGUCUAUAGCUGGUUUUCUUUUUUCUUUCCAGGCAAAACCUACGGUACCAGUCCACACUGAGUGGACCUCUGGGGCUCCCAACUGCCGAUUGACCUGAACCCCAGAGUGAACUCGUGUUGCUUUGUGGCUUUAGGAAACCUUGUAACAUCUCUGUGCUGUUUUUUCAUAUGUGCUAAAUCAUUCCUGAGGCCUCCUCCUCCUGCUGCAGUUUGACAAGCCUUGACCAAAUCAUAAACUCCCAGUUAAUGGGAUAAAAAUGAGCUUGAAUCUGGGAUUCUGGUCAUUAACCCCAUGUCACCAUCUGGUCCAGCAGUUUGAUGGCAGGGCUAGGUGAAUUCUAAUCACCCAACACUUGUUAAACUGCAGAUUCCUGCUUCCCCACCCCUGCUGACUCAGCAUCUCUGGGGUGGGGCCUACAAAGGCUCUCUUCCUUGAUGGGGUUAUUGAGGGCAGCUCUGGUAACCCACCCAGGACCAGACCUGAUGAGGAGUUUCUCCUAUGCAUCAGGCACGCCGGAUCUGUUUGCGGAGUUUCAUACUUGGAUUUUCCUCUGCCUGGAGAGUUCCUUGCAGCUGGCUUCUUCUGUGUCAUGGCCCCAGAGAGGUCUUGGCUGGUCUCCCUAUCUCCACCCUCCACCAUGCUCACUAUUCCAUUACAAGUUUCCUUUUCUACCCAGUACUAAUCAUUUUCUGCAGUUCAUCUCAUCUCCUUGUGAACUAUCUGUUGGUCCCACCAGAAAGUAAGUCUCCACCUAGGGGCAGAGACCCUGCCUGGCUUGUUAGAAGCUAUAUCCCCAGGAUUGAAGCAUAUGAGAGAUGCUCAGAAAUAUAAAAAUUAAUGAACAAAUGAACUCAUGAGUGAAUUCAUUCAGCUCUGAUGCUGAGGUUCCCUCUCUGAGAUGAAAGAAUGGGGGACCUUCUAAUCCUGGGGAACCUGGGGCCUGCCCUGAGCCUGGUUCCUGAGGCAGGUGAGGAACCAACCCCGCCAAUCCACUCAACCCCGUCGAUUGUUACCCCCGCCACCCAGGGAAGACCUCACUGGAGCCAGAGUCAGUGUAGGGGGCAAGAGGAGUCUGUGCACCCAGAGAAUCUUGGCUGAGGUUGCCUGAUUUUAAAAAUCGUGACUUCAGGAGCUAUUGACCAAGUACUCCUUAGCUUCAUUGUCUACAAAACCACAGGUGCAGGUGAAAGUUGACAUUAGGUAUGAACUGAAUACUGUUUAGCUACCCUAUUCAAAAAAUUGUUUUUGUUUGUUUGUUGAGACAGGGUCUCACUCUGUCACUCAGGCUGGAGUGCAGUGACAUGGUCAUAGUUCACUGUGGCCUCGAAUUCCUGGACUCAAGCUCUCCUCCUGCCUCAGCCUCCUGAGUAGCUGAGACUACAAGGUGCCAUUACAUCCAACUAAUUUUUUAAAUUUUUUUUGUAGAAAUGAGGGAUCUUCCCAUGUUGCUCAGGUUUGUCUCGAACUCCUGACCUCAAGGGAUCCUCCUGCCUCAGCCUCCCAAAGCAGCGGCCACAGGCAUGGGCACUGCACUUGGCAUAAAGAAAUAUUCUGUCUUCACUUCUAACUUGGAAUGAACUGCUUACCUUGACACUUCCCAUACCGGCUUCUCUCCACUUUUCAAUCUAACAGGAUAAUGAUGUCAUACAGAAAUAACUUACAGUAGGUAUUUAGUAAAUGCUGGUGUGCAAUAUGAAAUAAAAUUCACAAGAGGAAUUCCAACCUGUUCCUUAUCCUCAAAUAAUUUUUUAAUAGUCAAAAAUUAGUCUGAAAUUUGAGUCCUUGCCCUUCAGUAUAAAAUCAGUAGCUUCUAAUUUUCCCUUAUUUUGUUUGCUUUAAAGAGGCACACCUACCUAUAGUCCCUUAGUCAUGUAAAGGCUGACACCUCCCCACUGGUCUGAAGUGGGGCUUCUGGACCAUGCCUGAUCGCAGCCAUCUGAUCCUAAAGAACCUUUAACCAGGUACCUUUGUUUAAAGAAACAAAAGUCCUCUCCUAAAUAAAAAAAGCAGGCCUGGCUCGAAUCUCUCCAAUGGGUGAAGGAAAGUACCCAGGAGCAGGAGACUUGGAUUUCUGAUUUUAUUUCAUGUUGUUUCCCUUCCUCAAAGGUGUGAAACUCCACCCCACACCACUCCUUUCCUGUUCAUCCUCUACUGGAAGUGUUUUUCUCUAAAUAAUUUUUAUUUUCUAUUUUUGUCUGUAUGUGUUCUCGUCUUUUAUUCUACUUCUGCCCCUCUUUCCCCUGGGAAGGAAAAAUAGAAGAAAGAAGCCAUCUCUGUUUGCUUUCUCUCUGUCACUCAAUCUCUGGAGCCAACUGCUUCACAAAUAAAGAGAAAUGCACAGAGAGUCCCUGAAGCCCACCAUCAACAGACAGACUUUCAACAAAACUGUAUCAGCACCACCUGAUACAGGUGGAAAGGAACAAUGCUAGAGAAGUUCGUCCUUGCCCGGUUCCUGGGUGGAACUUCCUCUCCCCCUUGUGUUCUACGCGUGUGGUUACAGCUGCCUCUGAUCUUUGGUGACCAGCGGUUGGCAGUGGUGGUAUUUUAGCAUACCUUGAUCAUCGUGAUUAUUACACAGCUUCCUUUACUCAACAACCCCACCUACCCUCUUCUAGCCAUACCCCCCACCUCCUCCCAU
rnacentral:lncRNA from 1 species